UGCGGCCGCCAUCCACUCAGACCGACUAAAAUGCAAUCUGUAUUCCAGAAGGCUCUAAACAGGAUGGCCAAAAUUGCUUAACCCAGAACAUCUCACGGCCAACUGAUUCCAAAUGACUGUUCCACCAUUUUAAAAUAUCACUCCUGGAAUGCCUAAUUUUGAGAUUCUGUACAAGCAUCAGUAAUUGACUGUUGGGGAGAGAGAAAGAUAUUUUGGAUUGAUUUAACCAACUUUUUGUUCACAACCAAAAGCUGAUUAAAGG